GGGCCCUCUGGGGACUGUCAGGAGACAGCCUCUGUUUUAUUAGGAAAUAAAACAGAAUCUGGUCUGCUCCAGUUUUCUUCCUUUUAUUUACUGCAUUAGAAGACUUUCAUUCUAUUUAUUGCCUAUUCUGGGGGUUGAGGGUGAGGGGAAGGCAUGACUCCAGCCAGGUAGGAUACAAAAGUAUCUCACCCCCCAGGAGGGGUUUGAGGACCGGCCCUCCGGCUUUUAGAGAAGGGCAGCUGGCUUCUGUUGCUAACGAUUUGGAUUUGGCUUUUAACAGAAUAUCAAGGUGAAAGUGAAAGGAGCUUUUCACUCCCUGGAGAGUCAAGAGGGUGUGGGGUGGGACCUCCGGGGGAAUGAGGAGUAAGCGAGGGUGCUGGGGGGAUCCCAGACCUAGGAAUCAGAUCUGGGGAAGGGGUCUGCAAGACCCCUCCAUGAGUCAGGAAAAGCCGGUGGGUGGAUGGUGAGAAGGACCAGUGAAGACACUGUUUGCUGGAGUUGUCCCAGCCAGUGGCUAUGACUGAGAUUGUCCCAUGGCGUGUGCCCAGGGUCCUGCCAUUGGAUGAUGGGACAUUCUUUUUUUUUUUUUUUUUGAGACGGAGUCUCGCUCUGUCAUCCAGAGCUGGAGUGCAGUGGCGCGAUCUCAACUCGCUGCAGCCUCCACCUCCCGGAUUCAAGCAAUUCUCCUGCCUCAGCCUCCCAAGUAGCUGGGAUUACAGGCGUGGGCCACCACAUCUGGCUAAUUUUUGUAUUUUUAGUAGAGACGGAGUUUCUACUCCAUCAGGCUGGUCUCCAACUUCUGGCCUCAAGUGAUCCGCUGCCUCGGCCUCCCAAAGUGCUGGGAUUACAGACGUGAGUCACUGUGCCUGGCCUGGAUGGAACAUUCUGCUCUUUCUCCAUCUGCUGCCUACCCAUGAUGUCUUGGGACUCCUAGAGCCCUAAAGGAAGCCCCUGGACAUGCAGGAAGGUGAUCCAGAAUUACUCCCGAACUCUACCAGCUGAAAUCCUCCUCAACUCACAUCAGACAAGACGGCCCUGCCACUUACCUGUCAGAUCACUUUGGGCAGUUUACAGGAGAGAAGAUGCAGCCUGGGAGAGAUGUAGCAGGUGUCUGAGGUCACACAGCAAGUCACCCAGGGCCAGGAUCUGAAGCUGGGUCUCUCCAGCUCCACUGCCUGGGCACUUUCUCCUCCACAGCGACCUUCAGGUCAUCAUGAGGAGCCUUUCAGACUAAAGCUAGAGAGCUGGGAUUCCAACAGUUCAGCAACCCAUGACUUCUCCAUGGCAGCUGCUGCCUGACCACCUAGUGCCUUUCCACUAAGAUUGUUCCUUCCCUCUCCUGAAGAUUAUCCUCCUGCCCCUCUCUCCCAAACAUCUGCGGUGUGCACCUGCUGCCCAAAGUUGAACUUUUUUUUGUUAGAGACAGGGCCUCACUGUGUCAUCCAGGCUGGAGUGCAGUGGCAUGAUCAUAGCUCACUGUAGCCUCCAACUCCUGGGCUCAAGUGACCCUCUCACCUCAGCUUCCUGAGUAGCUGGGACUACAGGCAUGCACCACCACGCCUGGCUAAUUUUUAAAUUUUUUGCAGAGACAGGGUCUAGCUAUGUUGCCCACCCUGGUCUUGAACUCCUGGGCUCAAGCAAUCUGUCUGCCUUGGUCUCCCAGUGCGCUGGGAUUACAGGCAUGAAUCACCAUGCCCGGUCCUCCAAAGUUGAACUUUUGAGACUCAGUUUCCUUCUUGGUAAAUUCAGGCUCCUACGUGCUACCUCCUCAGAGACAUCCUCCUUGACCACAUCACAUGACCUCUCACAGAGGCCAGAUUCUUUAAUGUAUUCAUUUGUCUAUUAUCAUGUUUCCCCACUAGAAGUUGCACAAACGGCAGGGGCUUCAUCUGUUUUGUUUGCCGUUAUGUCCUUAGCACCUAAAAUUGUGCCUGGCACAUACAGUACUCAGUAUGUAUUUGCUGGGUCAAUGAGUGAGUGAAUUUAUACUAAUAACAGCAGCUACCAUUUCUAGAGUGUUUACCAUAUGUUGGGCACUGUGUCAAUCUUCCCAGCAACCCACAGACGAAGAUCAAUUAUUACACCCAUUGUACAGAUCAGGAAACUGAGUCAGGUUAAGAAACUUGCCCUAAAUCCUACAGUCUCACUUGGAACUUCUGACUGCAGUGCUCAUCAGAAUGCAUUGUCAACCCAAAGGUCAUUUCCAGCUCGGGUGGCUUCUAUCAACAGAGCUCAUCCUGGCCUUUCCAAGAGCCAGACCUCCGACAUUGGUGGAGCCCUGUGCAUAGCUGGCCUCUCCUGGGCGUCUUGUCCCAAGUACAGAGACCUGGAUCCUUUCCCACUCAUGUGCAACAGCCCAAAAUUAAAAACAAAAGCCAUAUUAAAAAACAAAACCAA